ACGGCUCAGUAACACGUGGACAACCUACCCUAUGGAAGGGGAUAAUCCCGGGAAACUGGGGAUAAUACCCUAUAGACUAUGGAUGCUGGAAUGCUCUGUAGCCGAAAGGUCCGCCGCCAUAGGAUGGGUCUGCGGCCGAUUAGGUUGUUGUUGGGGUAACGGCCCAACAAGCCUGUAAUCGGUACGGGUUGUGGGAGCAAGAGCCCGGAGAUGGAUUCUGAGACACGAAUCCAGGCCCUACGGGGCGCAGCAGGCGCGAAAACUUUGCAAUGCGGGAAACCGUGACAAGGGAACUCUGAGUGCCCGUAAAAUCGGGCUGUCCAUCGGUUUAAAUAACCGGUGAAGAAAGGGCCGGGCAAGACCGGUGCCAGCCGCCGCGGUAAUACCGGCGGCUCGAGUGGUGGCCACUAUUACUGGGCUUAAAGCGUUCGUAGCUGGUUUGUUAAGUCUCUGGGGAAAUCUUCCGGCUUAACCGGAAGGCGUCUCAGGGAUACUGGCAGACUAGGGACCGGGAGAGGUGAGAGGUACUCCAGGGGUAGGAGUGAAAUCCUGUAAUCCUUGGGGGACCACCUGUGGCGAAGGCGUCUCACCAGAACGGCUCCGACAGUGAGGGACGAAAGCUGGGGGAGCAAACCGGAUUAGAUACCCGGGUAGUCCCAGCCGUAAACGAUGUGCGUUAGGUGUAUCGGUGACCACGAGUCACCGAGGUGCCGAAGAGAAA
rnacentral:rRNA from 1 species